AUCUAUGGCCAUACCACUCUAAAUGUGCCCAAAGUCACUUAAUCUUGGAAGCUAAGCAGGGUUGGCCUGGUUAGUAUUUGUAUGGGAGAACACCUAAGAAUACCAGAUGCCAUGGGUU
rnacentral:rRNA from 1 species